UACGUAGGGUCCGAGCGUUGUCCGGAAUUACUGGGCGUAAAGGGCUCGUAGGUGGCCAACUAAGUCAGACGUGAAAUCCCUCGGCUUAACCGGGGAACUGCGUCUGAUACUGGAUGGCUAGAGGUUGGGAGAGGGAUGCGGAAUUCCAGGUGUAGCGGUGAAAUGCGUAGAUAUCGGAAGGAACAUCAGUGGCGAAAGCGACUUCCUGGACCAGUACCGACGUUCAGGCACGAAAGCGUGGGGAGCAAACAGG
rnacentral:rRNA from 1 species